rnacentral:piRNA from 2 species
UGAAUUAGAUGGAACUGCAUGU